UACGUAGGGUCCGAGCGUUGUCCGGAAUUAUUGGGCGUAAAGGGCUCGUAGGCGGUCUGUCGCGUCGGGAGUGAAAACUCAGGGCUCAACCCUGAGCGUGCUUCCGAUACGGGCAGACUAGAGGUAUGCAGGGGAGAACGGAAUUCCUGGUGUAGCGGUGGAAUGCGCAGAUAUCAGGAGGAACACCCGUGGCGAAAGCGGCUCUCUGGAACGGUACUGACGCUGAGACGCGAAAGCGUGGGGAGCGAACAGG
rnacentral:rRNA from 1 species